GAUCGCCGCCGCGCCGCCAUCUUGGACACCAGCCGUGUGCAGCCUAUCAAGCUGGCCAGGGUCACCAAGGUCCUGGGCAGGACCGGCUCUCAGGGACAGUGCACGCAGGUGCGCGUGGAAUUCAUGGACGACACGAGCCGAUCCAUCAUCCGCAAUGUAAAAGGCCCCGUGCGCGAGGGCGACGUGCUCACCCUUUUGGAGUCAGAGCGAGAAGCCCGGAGGUUGCGCUGAGCUUGGCUGCUCGCUGGGUCUUGGAUGUGGGGUUCGACCACUUGGCCGAUGGGAAUGGUCUGUCACAGUCUGCUCCUUUUUUUUGGUCCGCCACACGGAAUUGAGAUGCUCCUUUAAAUAAAGCGUUUGUGUUUCAAGUU
rnacentral:lncRNA from 1 species